CUCGCAGUAUAUUUUUGUGUUUUGUUCAAUUUGUCAACUCAAAUCACAGGAUUAUACUGUGAG
rnacentral:pre_miRNA from 13 species